rnacentral:rRNA from 1 species
GACGAACGCUGGCGGCGUGCCUAAUACAUGCAAGUCGAGCGGAUCUAUCCUUCGGGAUAGGUUAGCGGCGGACGGGUGAGUAACACGUAGGUAACCUGCCUGUAAGAUCGGGAUAACUACCGGAAACGGUAGCUAAGACCGGAUAGCUGGUUUCUCCGCAUGGAGAGGUCAUGAAACACGGCGCAAGCUGUGACUUACAGAUGGGCCUGCGGCGCAUUAGCUAGUUGGUGAGGUAACGGCUCACCAAGGCGACGAUGCGUAGCCGACCUGAGAGGGUGAACGGCCACACUGGGACUGAGACACGGCCCAGACUCCUACGGGAGGCAGCAGUAGGGAAUCUUCCGCAAUGGACGCAAGUCUGACGGAGCAACGCCGCGUGAGUGAUGAAGGUUUUCGGAUCGUAAAGCUCUGUUGCCGAGGAAGAACGUCGCGGAGAGUAACUGCUCUGCGAAUGACGGUACUUGAGAAGAAAGCCCCGGCUAACUACGUGCCAGCCGCCGCCGUAA